rnacentral:rRNA from 1 species
GAUCAUUAUUGAAAUAAAUCUGAUGAGUUGCUGCUGGCUCUCUAGGGAGCAUGUGCACGCUUGUCAUCUUUAUAUCUCCACCUGUGCACCUUUUGUAGACCUGGAUAUCUCUCUGAGUGCCUUAGCACUUCAGGUUUGAGGAUUGGACUUUAUUGCUCUCUCUUUAUAUUUCCAGGCCUAUGUUUCUUCAUAUACCCCAUUGUAUGUCAUAGAAUGUAGUAAAUAGGCCUUUGUGCCUAUAAACCUAUACAACUUUCAGCAACGGAUCUCUUGGCUCUCGCAUCGAUGAAGAACGCAGCGAAAUGCGAUAAGUAAUGUGAAUUGCAGAAUUCAGUGAAUCAUCGAAUCUUUGAACGCACCUUGCGCUCCUUGGUAUUCCGAGGAGCAUGCCUGUUUGAGUGUCAUUAAUAUAUCAACCUCUUCAACUUUUGUUGAGUGGGUUGGAUGUGGGGGGUUCUUUUUUGCUGGCCUCUCUGAGUUCAGCUCCCCUGAAAUGCAUUAGCGGAACAAUUUUGUGGAUUCGUUCAUUGGCGUGAUAAUUAUCUAUGCUAUUAACGUGAAGCAGUUCAGCUUAUAACAGUCCAUUGACUUGGACAAAAUUUUAUUAAUGUGACCUCAAAUCAGGUAGG